rnacentral:rRNA from 1 species
AGAACGAACGCUGGCGGCAGGCUUAACACAUGCAAGUCGAACGCCCCGCAAGGGGAGUGGCAGACGGGUGAGUAACGCGUGGGAACAUACCUUUCGGUUCGGAACAGACCCGGGAAACUGGGAUUAAUACCGGAUACGUCCUUCGGAGAAGAUUAUCGCCGAAGAUUGGCCGCGUCUGAUUAGCUAGUUGGUGAGGUAAUGGCUCACCAAGGCGACGAUCAGUAGCUGGUCUGAGAGGAUGAUCAGCCACAUUGGGACUGAGACACGGCCAAACUCCUACGGGAGGCAGCAGUGGGGAAUAUUGGACAAUGGGCGCAAGCCUGAUCCAGCCAUGCCGCGUGAGUGAUGAAGGCCCUAGGGUUGUAAAGCUCUUUUGUGCGGGAAGAGUAAUGACGGUACCGCAAGAAUAAGCCCCGGCUAACUUCGUGCCAGCAGCCGC